rnacentral:rRNA from 1 species
AACGAACGCUGGCGGCAGGCCUAACACAUGCAAGUCGAACGAUGUAGUGGCAGACGGGUGAGUAACGCGUGGGAACGUACCUUUCACUACGGAAUAGCUCUGGGAGACUGGUGGUAAUACCGUAUACGCCCUCCGGGGGAAAGAUUUAUCGGUGAAAGAUCGGCCCGCGUUGGAUUAGCUAGUUGGUGAGGUAAUGGCUCACAAAGGCGACGAUCCAUAGCUGGUCUGAGAGGAUGAUCAGCCACACUGGGACUGAGACACGGCCCAGACUCCUACGGGAGGCAGCAGUGGGGAAUCUUGCACAAUGGGCGAAAGCCUGAUGCAGCCAUGCCGCGUGAAUGAUGAAGGCCUUAGGGUUGUAAAAUUCUUUCGUCAGGGAUGAUAAUGACCGUACCUGAAGAAGAAGCCCCGGCUAACUUCGUGCCAGCAGCCGCGGUAAUACGAAGGGGGCUAGCGUUGUUCGGAAUUACUGGGCGUAAAGCGCACGUAGGCGGACUUUUAAGUCAGGUGUGAAAUCCCGGGGCUCAACCUCGGAACUGCAUUUGAAACUGGAAGUCUUGAGAUCAGGAGAGGUUAGCGGAAUACCGAGUGUAGAGGUGAAAUUCGUAGAUAUUCGGUGGAACACCAGUGGCGAAGGCGGCUAACUGGACUGAUACUGACGCUGAGGUGCGAAAGUGUGGGGAGCAAACAGGAUUAGAUACCCUGGUAGUCCACACCGUAAAC